UCAAAGAUUAAGCCAUGCAUAUCUAAGUMUAAGCAACUAUACGGUGAAACUGCGAAUGGCUCAUUAAAUCAGUUAUCGUUUAUUUGAUAGUACUUCACUACAUGGACAACUGUGGUAAUUCUAGAGCUAAUACAUGCUAAAAACCCCGACUUCGGAAGGGGUGUAUUUAUUAGAUAAAAAACCAAUGCCUCCGGGGCUCCUUGGUGAAUCAUAAUAACCUAACGAAUCGCAUGGCCUUGAGCCGGCGAUGGUUCAUUCAAAUUUCUGCCCUAUCAACUUUCGAUGGUAGGAUAGUGGCCUACCAUGGUUUCAACGGGUAACGGGGAAUUAGGGUUCGACUCCGGAGAGGGAGCCUGAGAAACGGCUACCACAUCCAAGGAAGGCAGCAGGCGCGCAAAUUACCCAAUGCCGACACGGCGAGGUAGUGACAAUAAAUACUGAUCCAGGGCUCUUUCGGGUCUUGGAAUUGGAAUGAGUACAAUCUAAAUCCC
rnacentral:rRNA from 1 species